GCGUCUUUGUAAAUCAUAUUAAAUAGAAAAGAUAACAACUGAUUGUGUAGUAUGUCCCAAAAGGGGUAGAAACAAUAAUUAAAAUUUUAACAUUACAAUAUUGUUUUAAUAAAGGCAUUUUGGCUACUUUCUUACUGUGAGUUAGCCAUUCUACUUUUUUAUCCUUUUACUUUUUUACUACUACCAUCCUUUUUAUCCGGUACCAGAAGUGUUUUUACUUUCCAGUGAGGAUAUUACUCAGAAGAAUCAUAGGUGGGGAUUAUACCACUCAAGCUGUAUUCAUUGAACAGUUAGUCUGUUCAAUCAAAUGUGAGUAACCACUUGGUAUUUUAUCUUUUCACCUCUGGCAUUUUAUACUUUGAGCACUAUUGCUGUCCCCGUUUUUAUUUUCACAUACGGUUCCCUAAUCAAGCAAGAAUACAAAGACCUCACAUAUCCCAUAAGUGGGGAUUAUACCACUGUACGUUAUCAACACUAGAGCUAAGCUCAUAGCUCUAAGAAACGUGAGUAGGACCAUAUAUUCUUUUAUUGUUUCUACCCCUUUUGGGACAUACUACACCAUCAGUUGUUAUCUUUUCUAUUUCAUAUAAUU